AGUGAACGCUGGCGGUAGGCCUAACACAUGCAAGUCGAACGGCAGCACAGUAAGAGCUUGCUCUUACGGGUGGCGAGUGGCGGACGGGUGAGGAAUACAUCGGAAUCUACUUUUUCGUGGGGGAUAACGUAGGGAAACUUACGCUAAUACCGCAUACGACCUACGGGUGAAAGCAGGGGAUCUUCGGACCUUGCGCGAUUGAAUGAGCCGAUGUCGGAUUAGCUAGUUGGCGGGGUAAAGGCCCACCAAGACGACGAUCCGUAGCUGGUCUGAGAGGAUGAUCAGCCACACUGGAACUGAGACACGGUCCAGACUCCUACGGGAGGCAGCAGUGGGGAAUAUUGGACAAUGGGCGCAAGCCUGAUCCAGCCAUACCGCGUGGGUGAAGAAGGCCUUCAGGUUGUAAAGCCCUUUUGUUGGGAAAGAAAAGCAGCAGGUUAAUACCCCGCUGUUCUGACGGUACCCAAAGAAUAAGCACCGGCUAACUUCGUG
rnacentral:rRNA from 1 species